rnacentral:rRNA from 1 species
AACGAACGCUGGCGGCAUGCCUAACACAUGCAAGUCGAACGAGACCUUCGGGUCUAGUGGCGCACGGGUGCGUAACGCGUGGGAACCUGCCCUUAGGUUCGGAAUAACUCCCCGAAAGGGGUGCUAAUACCGGAUAAUGUCUUCGGACCAAAGAUUUAUCGCCUUUGGAUGGGCCCGCGUUGGAUUAGCUAGUUGGUAGGGUAAAAGCCUACCAAGGCGACGAUCCAUAGCUGGUCUGAGAGGAAGAUCAGCCACACUGGGACUGAGACACGGCCCAGACUCCUACGGGAGGCAGCAGUGGGGAAUAUUGGACAAUGGGCGAAAGCCUGAUCCAGCAAUGCCGCGUGAGUGAUGAAGGCCUUAGGGUUGUAAAGCUCUUUUACCCGGGAUGAUAAUGACAGUACCGGGAGAAUAAGCGCCGGCUAACUCCGUG